GGGGGUUGUACUCUUUCAUGCUGUCCUGGUGCUGUAUCACUAUGGUAGUUAAUUGUGCCGUCAGCUGGGAUGGAUUGAGAAACACGUGGCAGAUUAGUGGCGCACAGUUCUGGGUGUGUCUGGAUGACUGACAUGUAGGCCACCGACUAAGAAGGGAGGACCCACCCUGGAUGUGGAUGGCACCAACCAAUAGGCUUGAAUCUUGGAUGGACUACAAAAAGAAAGACGGAAGUGUCCCCUGCUCUGCUGCUUCUGAGGAGCUCUAGACUUUGCCACGGGCUUUGCUUGCUGGUCUCCAGUUCCUUCAGGCCUGGAGCACAGACUCUUCAGCCUUCCAGUGCAGACUCCCAACCUUCUGACACAGAAUUCACACCGGACUCUACAGUGACUUUCGACUUCCUACUGGAUGCUCUGCUCUCCUGCAGGCAGAUGGCCAUUCUGCUUUUUCCACCCUUGGCUCCACAGGCAGCCAUUGCAAACUUACUUUGCACCUCCUGUGUAUAUGCCCUGUGAAAAGUGUUGAAGAUGAAAGGGAAGACAAGGGGAGAAGAAAAUG
rnacentral:lncRNA from 1 species